GGGAUUGCCUAAUUCUUGAGGCGUCCUUGCGACAUAUGCGUCCGCAAAGGUUCAGCCUAGUUGCAACCUCGUAUAGGUCUCGAAGGACCUGUAAAAUAGAAAGUUGAUUAGGUUGAAAACGAGCGACAGACAAGUCUCGACGUCUCGCAAAGAGGGAAGCUUUACAAGCAAUUCAGCAAGCACCUUGUGUGCAUAGGAGAAAAGAGAGAAAGGAGGAAAACAAGAGCUUUAGAAGGUAGAACGAACAGUUGCAAGUCCACAAACAACUGCUCACCGGGUGCCGGGCGUGAAGGCAAGUUCCCGUCAAGUCAACGUGUGAACUUGUGAAGAUUUUUUAACGCCCGAUAAUAUACCGAAGCCCCAUCCAGCCCUGUGCCACCCGGGGGGGUUCCAGGGUGCUGAGAUGGUUGACAUUUCGUGCGCUGCAGUAGGCUACAGAAAACAGCCCGUGGCACGCGAAAACAGAGCCAUUUUGAGGCUUUUUGGCCUGGCACGGUGAGCGAUCGCACUGUGCGCUGCAACCUAUUCGAACAUGUAUUUUUACAAGAAAAAACACAUAAAACCAAGGUAAAAGAGGCUGUCAUGUCUCUGUUCAAGCAUGCAAAAGCGAUGAACGAUUCGUUGAACGAAAUUGUUGCGAGUGCGCGACGACCGUUCGUGACAUUCUCCCCCAUUUAAACUGUUGACGCCCUCGUUGACGCUUGUUGGUAGUUGUUGAUAGUUGCUUCUUCAUGUCGUAGGGCAUCUUCGGGCUCCCAACUGGCUUCAGUUUGGGGAAGCUUUCGCUACUUCACCAAGUACUCGGUCUGCUCAGCUCCAUUGGGUAACUUUAUCUUGCGAUCCGCUAGAAUGGUUUCAACUCGCUUCUCGUAGGAGGCUCUGGUGGGGGCGUAGCCGAGUUAGAACACUUUGGGAAGCAUCUUGCAGAUCUGAGUAGUAGGCUUUCAAGUUGUUGGCGUGAAAAACAUUAUGAAUUUUGAGCCACGCCGACAGCUGCAACCUGUAGGAGGCGUUGCCCACCCUACUAAUAAUUGGGAAGGGUCCUUCAUACUUGCGCACCAAUCCUUUGUGUACUUUGUUCUUAAAGAAUUGGAGUGAUGUUGGUUGGAACUUCACCAACACCAAAUCGCCGACUUUGAACUCUUGUGGUCGCCUUCCCAUGUCGGCCCACUUCUUCAUCUUUUUUACCGCCUUCUCCAAGUAAGCCCGCGCAAUAUCUGUUUUUCGAUGCCAUUCUUUUGCAAAGUGAUAUGCUGACGGACUAUUCCCAGUGUAUCCGAUAGCCAAGGUGUGAGGAGUCGAUGGUUGUUGUCUUGUAAUAAUCUCGAAGGGGCUCUUGUUUGACGUAGAGCUCCGCUGCAAGUUGUAGGAGAAUUGGGCUAUGUCCAACAGCUUCACCCAAUCUUGUUGGUUGGCACUUACGUAGUGCCGAAGAUAUUGCUCCAGUAGAGAAUUUAUCCUUUCGAUUUGGCAUUCUCUCUGGGGGUGGAGGCUUGUGGAGAAGUAUAACUUAGACCCUAACAAUUUGAAUAGCUCGGUCCAGAAUCGUCCCAGGAACCGAGCGUCUCGAUCAUUGAUAAUAUUGUGCGGGACUCCCCAAUACUUCACCACAUUAUUUAUCAUCAGCUUGGCCGCCUCCUCUGCUGAACAGUGUAAGGGUGCAGCAAUAAAAGUUGUAUACUUUGAAAAUUGAUCGACCACCACGAGUAUCGAUCCGAGUCCCUCUACUACCGGCAAGCUUGAUAUAAAGUCCAAAGAAAUGCUCUCCCACGACCUUUCUGGUACUGGCAAUGGCUCCAAAAGGCCCACCGGCUUCCGUUGCUCCACUUUGUCUUGUUGGCAAGUGAGGCACGUUCGAACAUAUUCCUCCACAUCAGUCCCCAUCUUCGGCUAGUAGAAGGCCCUCUCCACGAGAGCCAUGGUUCUGUGAAUGCCCGGAUGUCCAGCCCAUAGGGAAUCAUGACACUAUCUUAAGAGCUCACGCCUCAAAUUGUCCACUCGAGGGACAUAAACCCUAUUCCCUUUUGUAUAAACGAGUCCCUCCUGGAUCCAAAAUCGUCGUGCCUUGCCUUCGUUAAUGAGCUGCAUCAAGGUUACUGCCUGGGGAUCACUGUACAGUCUAUCCCUGAUCCUGGAAAGGAAGUUGGAGUGCAGCUGACUUGUUUGGCCUCUGCCCUCCAAUUGUACAGCAUUCACACGCUCCACUUUCCGACUCAAUGCAUCGGCCACGACAUUUGCCUUUCCGGGCUUGUACUCCAUUGUCAUAUCAAACUCAGCCAGGAAGUCCUGCCAUCGUGCUUGCUUUGCGGAGAGUUUCUUCUGAGUUUGGAAGUAGCUCAAAGCGAUGUUGUCUGUCCUCAGCACAAAUCGCGAUCCAAGAAAGCAGUGUCGCCAAACUCGUAAACAGUGGACCACCGUUGUCAUCUCCUUCUCGUGUAUCGGAUACCGCUGCUCAGUCUCGUUGAGCUUGCGACUCUCGUAGGCCACCAGAUGACCCUCCUGCAUGAGUACUCCCCCAAUAGCGUAGUCUGAAACAUCUGUAUGGACUUCGAAGGGCUCCCCAUAGUCCGACAAUUUGAGCACCGAUUCUUCCAACACAGCAACCUUCAGAUCUUGGAACGCAUCUUCACAUUAAUCAGACCACCUCCAAGGCUGCUUCUUCUUCAGCAACUCCGUCAGUGGAGUUACACGCUUCGAAUACCCCGCUAUGAAGCAUCGAUAGUAGUUGACGAAACCAAGGAAGGAUCUCAACUCUGGCACCUUCUUUGGAGUUCGUCAUUCCGCAACAGCUUGCACCUUCGAUUUGUCCAUCCGAAUGGCGCCAUCACCGAUUCGAUGCCCCAAGAAUAAGAUCUCUGUUUGAGAAAUGUAGUACUUCUCCCUUUUCACGAACAAAGUGUCCUCCUUGAGAACCUUAAAUUGUUCGAAGGUGCUCGACAUGCUCCUCGAGCGUUUGGCUGUAGACGACGAUAUCGUCCAAGUAGAUGACCACGAACUUAUCCAAAUACUCUUUGAAUAGUUAGUUCAUAAGAAUGCAGAACGUGGCUGGAGUGUUGGUUAAGCCGAAAGGCAUCACCAAGAACUCAAACGCUCCAUACCUGGUCACGCAGGUAGUCUUUACUUCGUUGCCUUCAGCAAUGCGCAACUGCCAGUACCCCGACCGGAGGUUAAGUUUAGAGAAAUACUUGGCUUUGCCCAAUUAGUCGAACAAGUCUGCGAUGAGCAGGAUGGGAUACUUAUUCUUCACCGUCACUUUGUUGAGGGCUCAAUAAUCGACGUAUAGUCAGAGGCUCCCAUCUUGUUUCUUUUGGAAGAGAACUGGAGCUCCGAAUGGUGCUUUAGAACUGCGGAUGAGACCACCGCUUAGCAAUUCACCUAACUGCUUUCUGAGCUCUGCCAACUAUGGAGGGGGCAUGCGGUAGGGUGGUCUCGCUGGAGGCUUCACUCCUGGCUCCAGUUCGAUAUAAUGAUCCACGCCUCUGCGUGGCGAUAGAGUCUUCGACAACUCAGGUGGCAUAACGUCUGUGAACUCCUUCAAGACGUUCGUCACCAUAGCAGGUUCAUGAAUGGCCUUCUCGUCGAGUGGCUUUAGCUUCAUAGCAGCCACAAAUGUUAAUUCACCUUUUCAUACCCCUUUCUUCAAUUGUAAUACUGAUAUCUGUUGGGGUUCCCUGGUUCAUCUCUGAGAGACGAGAACCACACAAGGGUCGUCACCUCCCAUCAUACAUAGGGAGUUUAGGAACGACAUUGGCACCAACUUCGCCACGUACAUGAAUUUCAUUCCAAGAAUCACUUGGAAGUCGUCCAGUGGCACCGCCAUCAUGUUUGUACUCCCGCUCCAUGUUCCGAUCUUGAUGGGAAAUCCCUUUGCCAACCCGGAGAUUCGCUUGGCCUCCGAGUUCACCGCCUUUAUUCGACUUGGGUUCUCCAAGAUCAGCCCAAGUCGCUUUGCUUCUUGAUCGGCAAUAAAGUUGUGGGUAGCUCCCGUAUCCACUAUUGCACGGGUUAUUUGGCCAUUGAGCUUACUGUCCACGUACAUCAGCUCGCUACUACCUGCUUUCAAUGACUUUGCCUUCAUGUUCUCCCCCACUUGACCUCGCAAUGCAUUUAACAAACGCAUUGCUCCCAUUCGGGGACCCUGUGACUCCUCAUCGUUGUUGCUAGAUUCUGAACUGCUUGAACUAAAGGCGACGACUUUGCCCUAGUCCGAUUUUGGGGGAUGGAUGAAAGCUGUUAAAGCAUUGAGUGCUUGUUUCUAUGGGCAAUCCCUCACCAUAUGCGACCCUCUGCACAAGAAGCAUCCGCCAAUCUUCGAGGCCUUGCCUUUUGAGCUUGGCCAUUUAUGGAAACUCUUCUUUCUUUGUUUGUCCCAGGGCUCCUUCCAUCGAGAAUAUUUUGGAGGGCGAUUUCCUGAAGAUUGUUUCCUUUUUCCUGGGUCCUCAGAGGUAACAAAGUCGGUGAGCCUUUCUACAGCAACAAUUGCCCCGAUCCGGUGACAUUCCUUCGAUACAAUUCUUGUUGAGCCCAAGGCUUCAAACCAUCAAGGAAGCUGAACAGCUUAUCCUUUUCGGACAUGUCCUGUAUGUCUAGCAUUAGUGCAGAAAAUUACUUCACGUAGUCUCGAAUGGAAGUACUUUGGCGGAGUUAUUUUAGUUUCCUCAUUGUGACGAACUUUGUAUUCUCAAGUAGAAACUGAGUUCUCAACUCCCGCUUUAAGUCCUCCCAUGUGUCCACAUAACACUGACCUUGUUGGAUCUCCUCCUAAUGGGUCCGCCACCAAAGUUUUGCAUCCUUGUCCAAAUACAUGGUUGCUAUUCAGGCUUUGUAGCUCGAAAGUACUGUUCCAUGUCAAACAAGAAAUUCUCGAGCUCUUUUGCAUCCCUAGCACCUCCAUAGCAAUGAGGCUCAGGUGCCCUCAGGUUUUGUGGCGGUGCAACGUGGGUAUUGCUCCCUCCCGCAUUUAGUGCCCUUGUGAGUACUGUCACUUUAGAAGUGAGUUCCACCACGACUUCAUGCAAAUGUUGCACGAAGUCUUUAGUCAUCCGUCAGUCGAUCGACUAGGGCCUCAACCUUAUCGAUUCAGGAUUUAGCUUCUUCUUGCGAGCUCUCUACCCCAAGAAACCUUUGCUGGCCUUGUUAGAGUUCCUCCAAGCUCGCUUCAAGAACAUUCAAGCGGGUUUCCGCCGCUAUGAGUCUCUCCUUAUGGCUCUUCUUCUCGAUUGACGCUCCAGAUUGCGCCUCCUUCGCUCGCGGAGAGUAGCCAUUUUCUCGCUCAUUAUGUUCGCUGCCACGAUCCUCCAAAGCCGCUCCAACGACAUGAGAGCAAGUUUGCACUUGCAGCCCACCUGCGACUGCUUGGGGAAAAGGUCCGGCUUGCCCCGCCUUGCUUGAUUCGCCACGAUGCUUUGCCAUGGUGAAACUGUGAAGUUCCUUCGUUGCUUGCUCGAAUUGCUUGUUAGCUCUGAUACCACAAGGUCACAGACUUAGCUGGAAUUGCCUAAGUCGUGAGGCACCCUUGUUGCCAAUACGCGAACUUAGCAUGAGUUGCCUAAGUCGCAACGUACCCUUGCACCAACUUCUCGGACUUAGCUGGGAUUGUCUAAGUCUUGAAGCAUCCUUGCGACAUAUGCGUCCGCAAAGGUCCAGCCUAGUUGCAACCUCGUACAAGUCCCGAAGGACCUGUAAAACAGAAAGUUAAUUAGAUUGAAAACGAGCGACGGACAAGUCCCGACGUCUCGCAAAGAGGGAAGCUUUACAAGCAAUUCAGCAAGCACCUUGUGUGCACAAGAGAAAAGAGAGAAAGGAGGAAAACAAGGA
rnacentral:lncRNA from 1 species